rnacentral:rRNA from 1 species
GGUUAAGUGACUAAGCGUACAUGGUGGAUGCCUUGGCAGUCAGAGGCGAUGAAGGACGUACUAACCUGCGAUAAGCCGUGAGCAGUCGGUAAGAGACAUUACGACUCACGGAUUUCCGAAUGGGGAAACCCACUUAGCAUAAGCUAGGUAUCGCUGCGUGAAUACAUAGCGUAGCGAGGCGAACCGGGAGAACUGAAACAUCUAAGUACCCCGAGGAAAAGAAAUCAACCGAGAUUCCCUCAGUAGCGGCGAGCGAACGGGGAUUAGCCCUUAAGCAUCUUGGAAGUUAGUGGAACGGUCCUGGAAAGGCCGGCGAUACAGGGUGAUAGCCCCGUACACGAAAACAACCUUGAUGUGAAAUCGAGUAGGGCGGGACACGUGACAUCCUGUCUGAAUAUGGGGGGACCAUCCUCCAAGGCUAAAUACUCCUGACUGACCGAUAGUGAACCAGUACCGUGAGGGAAAGGCGAAAAGAACCCCUGUGAGGGGAGUGAAAUAGAACCUGAAACCGUGUACGUACAAGCAGUGGGAGCCCUUCGGGGUGACUGCGUACCUUUUGUAUAAUGGGUCAGCGACUUACAUUUUGUAGCGAGGUUAACCGUAUAGGGGAGCCGUAGGGAAACCGAGUCUUAACUGGGCGUCUAGUUGCAAGGUGUAGACCCGAAACCGGGUGAUCUAGCCAUGGGCAGGUUGAAGGUUGAGUAACAUCAACUGGAGGACCGAACCCACUAACGUUGCAAAGUUAGGGGAUGACCUGUGGCUGGGGGUGAAAGGCCAAUCAAACUCGGAGAUAGCUGGUUCUCCCCGAAAGCUAUUUAGGUAGCGCCUCGGACGAAUACUACUGGGGGUAGAGCACUGUUUGGGCUAGGGGGUCAUCCCGACUUACCAACCCCAUGCAAACUCCGAAUACCAGUAAGUAAUAUCCGGGAGACACACGGCGGGUGCUAACGUCCGUCGUGAAGAGGGAAACAACCCAGACCGCCGGCUAAGGUCCCAAAGUUCUGGUUAAGUGGGAAACGAUGUGGGAAGGCUCAGACAGCUAGGAUGUUGGCUUAGAAGCAGCCAUCAUUUAAAGAAAGCGUAAUAGCUCACUAGUCGAGUCGGCCUGCGCGGAAGAUGUAACGGGGCUCAAACCAGGCACCGAAGCCGCGGAUUCAC